rnacentral:lncRNA from 1 species
CAAAGAUUAUCCUUGUAUUCAAAAGGAUCAAAGAAAUGUGUGAAACCCUUAGACGAUCGAAAGUCAUGUCCGUUUCAUUUUCCUUUGUGUAUUUUUUUCGCCUAGAUCAGAGUUUCAUUAUAUUUUAACAGAUUUGUAAGAUUGAGAAUGGUCAAGCACCAGCCAUCAAGUUCCCUUCAUUCCUUUUGUUGUUUAUUGUUCAUAAGCAAAGUUGGGCACUUGCAAUCUGUUAGGUCCAAACUGCAUUAGCAAGUUCCAUGUUCGAAAUAUAAUUAAGGUCGAGUUGUCUGGACUUGGGAGUGUAUUUGGAAGGAUUCAAAGUCAGCUCAAGAAAAUCAAGAUAAAGACAAAAUCGUUGGUUGGUCGCCCGGUGACUGCUUGAGCUAUUUUUGCAGUGACUUGACUGCUCACUAAACUCCACAUAAUAGCUCGAGCAAUCAUGUUAAUUGGUAAAACCCUAGUUAGCAACUUUGAGAGGUUUUAUAAUCCCCAAACAAUUUCAAACACUUUAUAUUAUAAAUACCCAUCCAUACUUUGUCCCUACGGUAUGUUGAAACUUUAUUCAUUAAAGAAAACAUUUUGUAGAAAAUCAAACCUCAAUUCCAUAAUUCUCUUAACUCAACCACAAGAUCAAAAGCAUCAAAAUACCAAAUGAUCAAACACUAACAAAAUCAUUUACCAAAUAGCCUUUAGAGUUCUAAAGAUUAAGAAAUGUAACUGGAGUUCCAGUUUGUAAAAAACGAGUUUGUUCUUAGUGAUCUACAAGAAGAAAAAGAAGUCCAGAGGUUUUGAAAAGUGCUGGAAUUCACAAUCGAAGAGUUCUUUAGUGAUUACAAGUUAGAUGGUCAAAGUCUAUAAGGUUUGGUUGUGUUUGGACCAAUUGUAAGUCAAAUAUUUUCUAGUGGAUCUUUAACUAGCAAGGAGUGCCUGCAUGUUUUUUAUCUCUUGAAAAGUUCUUCAAUAAUUUUUUCUUCGUAAACAAAUCUCGGAGUCGAUUUACUUUAUUACUUUGAUCUAUAUGCUUGAUUGACUACUAGAGUUUAAUUUGAUUGAACUUCAUCUAGAUAAAUAAUUUGUGACUUGUUGCAUGUCAUUGUUUGUUUAAUUUUUAUUUUGCAUAUUACAUCUAUUCACCUCCUCUAAGUGCUAGUUGGCUUGAACCUCAAUUAUUUCAAUUGAUAUCAGAGCCUUAAUAUCAUUCUUGUCCGUUCUUCCAUAUUUUAAUGGAAGCAAUUAUGCUUACUAGAAUAUUAGAUUAAGAGCAUUUCAAAAUCCGUUGUUGAGCUUGUUUGGUUUAGGGUAGAAAAGGGUUGGACAACCCCAUCUAUAUUUGUUGCUGAUGUAGUUGCUCUUAUUGAUAUCUCUACUUGGAUCAAAGAUGUAAUUGAAAUAGUAAAGGAGUUUAGGCCAUAUUUAUGACUCUCUGUCCUAGAGAGUUUAAGCGUGUGUCUAUGUGUGAAACUGCUACAAAAAUUUGGGAUAUUUUAGAAAUCACACAUGAUGGAACUAAGAUCAUGAAAAACUCUAAACUGCAGAUGUUAACCACUAGGUUUGAAAAAAUUAGGAUAAAAGAGAGAAAAUCCCCCCAAAGGUCACUAUACUUAGCCAAAAUGCCCUAGGAGGUCACCGAACUUCAAAAAGUCCCUAAACAGUUUCUGAACUUUGUCGAAAUCUCCCCCGAAGUCAUCGAACUUCAGAAAAUCCCUAAAUGGUCACUAAACUUUGUAAGAGGUCCCUAGGAGGUCACCCAACUUUGCAAAUUUAGAGCCUCAUACAUCAUUAGUUGAGUGACCUCCUAGGGACCUCUUGCAAAUUUCAGUAACCAUUUAGGGACUUCGACAAAGUUCAAUGACUGUUUAGGGAUUUUUUGAAGUUCGAUGACCUCCUAGGGCAUUUUGGCAAAGUUCAGUGACCUUUGGGGAGGAUUUCCUUGGAUAAAAGAUGAUGAAUUCUCCAAUGAAUUCUAUGCUAAAUUAAAUGAUAUAGUGAAUUCUAG